rnacentral:tRNA from 1 species
GCCGGAGUGGCGGAAUUGGUAGACGCAAGGGACUUAAAAUCCCUCGGGUCUCUGACCUGUACGAGUUCGAGUCUCGUCUCCGGCACCA